CAAAUAAGCAAGCAUUUAACAACUUCAGUGUCGUUUUUAUGUUUAAUAUGGAUUUUAAUGUGCCGCUAACUUACUUGAGACAUACUUGAGCCUAGAAUUUCUAAAAUAUAACCUCUGACAUGUAUGACAAUCAUGUGAUUUUCAUUCAAAACAAACAUGUAUAUAUAUUUAAAAAAAUGGCCUAAGAGAUUCUAAGAGAUAUACAAGAGAGUAUAUACAGUAUUUACAGCAUCUGUUACCCUUUUUAAGUUCAUUACAGAGCGCUUUUAAUUCUAUGCCAGGUAUUUAUUAAUUUAUUUGCUCCUUGUCUAAAAUUCAUUUGAAUUGUACAGUUUAAAAUAUUUGCUUUGUAGAAAGUGAGGAAUGCAAUUAAUUAAUAAUUAUUUUUUUAAUCGCCAGACAGCACUAAUUGUAAUGUGUUUUUAUGUAGGUGGAGGAUGAUAUGGAGGUAUGGAGUGAAGAGGAACCUGAGGACAGUGUGUUCACACCUGCUGAUGACAAGAUGGAGCAAGAUGACCACAUACCUUUCAUCACAGGACUUUUAUUUGUUCUUGCAAGAACCAAUGAGACGCAUUGCAGCAAGCAUUCCAUCUUCUCUUUACAUGUUUCGCAAGAGACUGAGCAUGAAUAGAGAUGAUUUUGCUCAAUAUGUAGUAUGCCCCGUUUGUAGCUCAGUUUACAGUCACGAGAAUGCAGUUCUGAACAUACAUGAUGGAAGGGGUAAAAUUGUUCGAAAGAAAUCUGCAAAAUGCUCUCAUGUUGACUUUCCAGGCCACAAACACAAAAAGUUACGGAAACAGUGUGGUGCUUUGCUGAUGAAAACUGUCAUUGGGAAAGGUGAAAGAGAGUUUCUGUACCCAAAACGGACAUUUUGUUACCGAAGCAUAUCAAAAUCUUUAGAGGACAUGUUGCAGAGGCCUGGAUUCAUUGAAUCAUGUGAACGCUGGCGAGAAAGAGAAGUAAAAGAAGGGAUGUACACGGAUGUUUAUGAUGGGCAAAUUUGGAAACAGUUUAUGUAUGUCCAGGGUAGGCCAUUCCUAGCAGAAGCUAAUAAUAUGGGAUUGAUGCUCAAUGUUGACUGGUUCCAGCCGUAUAAAAGCAUUCAUGAUUCUGUUGGUGUCAUGUAUCUAGUGGUGAUGAAUUUACCUAGAGAGGAGCGAUUCAAAGAAGAAAACAUAAUAGUAGCUGGAAUAAUCCCUGGACCACAUGAACCCAAAAAGCAUAUAAAUGGAUUCUUAAAUGUACUUGUUGGUGAUCUGUGCAAACUGUGGCACGGUCAGUACCUUAAGGACAGUUCACUAAUGGGGAAGCAACUAUACCGUGCAGCCAUUCUUUGUCUGGCAAGUGAUAUACCAGCAGCCAGGAAAACUGGAGGUUUUUUGGGCCACAUGGCCACCAAAGGCUGUAGCAAGUGUUUGAAAGAUUUCUUACGAACUUCAGAUAACAAAGUGUGCUAUGCAGGAUUUAAUGAUGAAAGUUGGCCCUCACGGAAUCAUAGAGACCAUUGUGAAUACGCUAAAAAAGCAAGGGCAGCAGAAAACAAAGCUGAGAAAGAAAGAAUUGAGGCCUUGUACGGUGCUAGAUACAGUUCUCUUCAGGAACUGCCUUACUUUGAUUGUGUUCGUAUGCACAUUAUUGAUCCUAUGCACAACUUGCUGGAAGGCACAGCUAAACGUGUAAUGCAGGUUUGGAGGGAGACAGGAGUGAUCUCAAAAGAUGGGUUUUCUGCUCUCCAGUCCCGUGUUGAUGCCAUGAGAAUUCCUUCUCAUGUAGAUUCUGGUAUUCCUUCUAAGUUAGAGGCAGCUUUUGAGGGUUUCACAGCAUCACAGUGGAAAAUGUGGGUUUGUGUAUAUUCAUUGUUUGCACUGAAGGAUAUUAUUAGUGAGGAACAUUACAACAUUUGGAAAGUGUUUGUCUCGGCCACUAAAGUACUUUGCAGUCGGGUUAUUCAAAAUGAUGACCUAGAAGAUGCACAUCGAUGUUUAAAGUUAUUUUGCAAUUUCUUUGAAAGAAAAUAUGGCAAAGAAUGGUGUACCAUGAAUAUGCAUUUACACCUCCAUUUAAAAUCAUGCAUUCAGGAUUAUGGACCAGUGCAUGGGUUCUGGUGUUUUUCUUUUGAGAGGGCCAAUGGUGUGUUAGGAGAUUAUCAUUCAAACAACCGUGACUCAGAACUCUGCAUGAUGAGGAAAUGGCUGACUGACUGGCAAGUUGCUGGCAAAUGUUCACUAAGUGAUCCGUUUUUUGGUGACAUUCAUUGCUUUUUUAAUGGAAGCUAUCAGCUCAAGGCAGUCAUAACAUCUAAACAGUUGGAAACCCUGAGUCAUCUUUCUGAUGAUUCCAUACUUGGUAAUUACGAGUACAGUGACAAUUUGGAGACUUUACUUCCACCAGUUAAAAAAGCCACAAUGUCAUUGGAAGAAAAUGCUGCACUCUUGACUAUGUUUGAGGUGAUGUAUCCCAGCAGCACAAUUCAUCGUGUUUCCUUUCAUUACUAUUAUUGCGACAGAUAUGUCUUAGCAGGUGAUGUAUAUUCACGGUCAGAUUACAGAACAGGGAAUUCCUCCUGUGUUUGUGCAAAGUGGUUUAGUCACAGAGAAAUAACAGGAGAGCCAGUCAUAGAUCCAAGAGCAUCUCAGCAUCCUGGGCAUAUUGCAAACAUCUGGAAAGUGUUUCUCUUUGUUAAAAACCAUGGUUCAUUACGAAAGGCAGAACACGUAGUUGCUCAAGUUCAGUGGUUCAAAGAACAUGGGGACAAAUAUUUCUUUGGAUUGAACACUUCUUGCACUGUUUGGGACACAAAUUACGAACCUUGGUCACAUGCAUCUUUCAUUCCAAUGAAAAGAAUCUCAAGUCAGUGUGCAUUCUGUACAUACAAAAUAAAAUUUUCUAGGUUCAGGGAGGAAAUAGUCAAUGUUGUUAUACCAGUUGCUUCAGCAAAAUGUGUCUAAAAAUCAACUGGGGAAGAUUUUUAUAUUUAAAAAACAUGAAUCAUUAUUUGUCAAUGUAUAUUAACUUAACAGGUGAAUUGGAGAUGCUCUGUCUGCCCUGUUAUGUAUUGGUGGCCUUUCCAGGGUGUAUACUCCCUCCUGUUAUAUGAGAGAUUUUUAGCCUCUCCUGUGUAGUUGCCAUCUGUGAAGUUGCCAUUUGGAGAUACUAGUAUUUCAUUGGACAGCGACAAUAUGGUCAAUUUUUUUAAACAUAAGUUGUUUGUGUCAGUUUAAGCAAGUAUGUUUUCAUGAGCUUUAACUGCUUUUUCUAAUAUGUUAACAUUGCAUUAUCAAUUGUAUUUAAAUCUCUGUUGUAUUGACUAUCAAGAAAACCUUUUGUUUGUGCAAAUAAUUCUGAGUAAAUACACAAUAAAAUGUAUCCAAAGA
rnacentral:lncRNA from 1 species